rnacentral:tRNA from 1 species
UCCCUGGUGGCUCAGUAGUAAAGAAUCUGCCUGCCAAGCAGGAGAUGCGGGUUCAAACUCUGUGUUGGGAA